AUAUCAAUAAGCGGAGGAAAAGAAACUAACAAGGAUUCCCCUAGUAACUGCGAGUGAAGCGGGAAAAGCUCAAAUUUAAAAUCUGGUGGCCUCUGGUCAYCCGAGUUGUAAUUUAGAGAAGCGUCUUCCGCGCUGGACCGUGCACAAGUCUCCUGGAAUGGAGCGUCAUAGAGGGUGAGAAUCCCGUCUUUGGCACGGAUCCCGGGGCUUUUGUGAUGCGCUCUCGAAGAGUCGAGUUGUUUGGGAAUGCAGCUCAAAAUGGGUGGUGAACUCCAUCUAAAGCUAAAUAUUGGCGAGAGACCGAUAGCGAACAAGUACCGUGAGGGAAAGAUGAAAAGCACUUUGGAAAGAGAGUGAAACAGUACGUGAAAUUGUUGAAAGGGAAACGCUUGAAGUCAGUCGCGUCGUCCGAGACUCAGCCUCGCCUCGGCUUGGUGUACUUCUCGACCGACGGGUCAGCAUCAAUUUUGCCCCUUGGAUAAUGGCGUGGGAAAUGUGGCACCUUUGCGGGUGCGUUAUAGUCCCUCGUCGCAUGCAAGGGUCGGGAUUGAGGAACUCAGCACGCGCCUUUUGGCGUCGGGGCCUUUGCCCACGAUACGUGCUUAGGAUGUUGGCGUAAUGGCUUUAAACGACCCGUCUUGAAACACGGACCAAGGAGUCUAACAUGCCCGCGAGUGUUCGGGUGGAAAACCCGUGCGCGCAAUGAAAGUGAAAGUUGGGACCUCUGUCGUGGAGGGCACCGACGCCCGGACCAGACCUUCUGUGACGGAUCUGCGGUGGAGCGUGUAUGUUAGGACCCGAAAGAUGGUGAACUAUGCCUGAAUAGGGUGAAGCCAGAGGAAACUCUGGUGGAGGCUCGUAGCGAUUCUGACGUGCAAAUCGAUCGUCAAAUUUGGGUAUAGGGGCGAAAGACUAAUCGAACCAUCUAGUAGCUGG
rnacentral:rRNA from 1 species